UACGUAGGGGGCAAGCGUUGUCCGGAAUCAUUGGGCGUAAAGCGCGUGUAGGCGGCCCGGUUAGUCCGCUGUGAAAGUCCAGGGCUCAACCCUCGAAUGCCGGUGGAUACUGUCGGGCUAGAGUGCGGAAGAGGCGAGUGGAAUUCCUGGUGUAGCGGUGAAAUGCGCAGAUAUCAGGAGGAACACCUAUUGCGAAGGCAGCUCGCUGGGACGUAACUGACGCUGAGACGCGAAAGCGUGGGGAGCAAACAGG
rnacentral:rRNA from 1 species